GCCCGAGUGGCGGAAUGGUAGACGCAGGGGAUUCAAAAUCCUCCGCCGCAAGGCGUGCGAGUUCGACUCUCGCCUCGGGCACCA
rnacentral:tRNA from 2 species